GAUGAACGCUGGCGGCGUGCCUAAUACAUGCAAGUCGAGCGAACGGACGAGGAGCUUGCUUCUCUGACGUUAGCGGCGGACGGGUGAGUAACACGUGGAUAACCUACCUAUAAGACUGGGAUAACUUCGGGAAACCGGAGCUAAUACCGGAUAAUAUUUUGAACCGCAUGGUUCAAAAGUGAAAGACGGUCUUGCUGUCACUUAUAGAUGGAUCCGCGCUGCAUUAGCUAGUUGGUAAGGUAACGGCUUACCAAGGCAACGGUGCAUAGCCGACCUGAGAGGGGGAUCGGCCACACUGAAACUGAGACACGGUACAGACUCCGACGGGAGGCAGAGGUAGGGAAUCUUCCGCAAAGGGCGAAAGCCUGACGGAGCAACGCCGCGUGGGUGCUGAAGGGCUUCGGAUCGUAAAACGCUGUUAUUAGGGAAGAACAUAUGUGUAAGUAACUGUGCACAUCUUAACGGUACCUAAACAGAAGGCCACGGCAAACUACGU
rnacentral:rRNA from 1 species